rnacentral:ncRNA from 1 species
UAGUCCGACUCGAAGGUCCCCGACACCCAGUCUGGACACGAGAAGACAAUCACUGGACUGUUCCCCGCACUCGCUGGAGCGAACACCCUGUACGGAGCCG